rnacentral:rRNA from 1 species
GCUCCAAUAGCGUAUAUUAAAGUUGUUGCAGUUAAAAAGCUCGUAGUCGGACUUGUGGCUGUGGCGCGCGGUCCGCCGAAAGGUGUGUACUGUGCGCCACGGCCAUCCUCUUGAGGACCUGCGGUGCCUUAACUGGGCAACGUAGGGACUCAGGACCUUUACUUUGAAAAAAUUAGAGUGUUCAAAGCAAGCUAAAGCUC